rnacentral:rRNA from 1 species
UGCGUAACACCUGGGCAAUCUGCCCUUCGAUGGGGAAUAACCCCGGGAAACCGGGGCUAAUUCCGCAUAAUAUUCCGAAAAUUAUGGUUUUUGGAUUCAAAGCCGCAAGGCGUCGAAGGAGGAGCCCGCGCACGAUUAGCUAGUUGGUGAGGUAACGGCUCACCAAGGCUAUGAUCGUUAGCUGGUCUGAGAGGAUGGCCAGCCACACUGGAACUGAGACACGGUCCAG